rnacentral:lncRNA from 1 species
AGAAUAUUAAUUUCAAGUACAUACAAUCAUUGCAGUUUUUUAGUAGAUCAGUCUCCUUUAUAUUGGCACAUUAAUUCCUUUAAAUAUAAGAAUAUAAAAAAUAUGUAUUCUCUUAAGAAGGUAAAAUAUUUCCAUUAUAUUUUUACACUCCUACUUUGCUUGCUAAGGAACUUUUUCUUUCCUGUGAGAAAUGAAAAGAGAAUGUUUAUCCGUUCUUGAAUUUUUAAAUAUAAAACCGUUGAGGCUCAGUGCAUUUCAUUUCCCUCACUAUAUUCUGUUCUCCCAGCGAGAAGGGGGAAAUGGGAAGGCUUUAGGUACUUGCAAAUCAGAAGGUAUUUUUUAUAGAAGGUAAAAACACACUGUAAACUGAAUCAGCAUGUGAUUUCAUAUAUAUGCUAAGUCAUUUCUUUCUGCAUUCUUCUGGUUACAUACUUUGCUUUCUAACUAACGUACCUUCUGAGCUCACUCCUUCCUUCACCCACAAAGUGUUCACUGAAUGUCAGCAUGCUGAUUGGACGAGCUUGUUAACUGUUAAGGAGAGACUGGGUCAAGUGGCUCUUUUUUUUUUUUCCCAGCCAGUAUAGCUAGGUCACCUUGACCACUGUAUCUUCAAUUUUAUUGUAUGUCAGCAUUGUUCCAAGUAGAUGGGCAUAGCAUCCUUUUACACUAAUGUUCUUGAGGCUGUCUGAAAUCCAGUUUUCUUUUCUGAAAGCUUUUGGGUACCUGAGCUUCUGUGGGAGGCUCCACACACCCAGAUACCUGGCAUCCAUCGGUGCCACAUCAACAAUGAAAUACUGGGUGGUUUGUUUAAGUUCACAGUCCACCUCUUCAGAGCCGAGUAUCUGUGCAGGGAAGUGUAGGUCAUCUAUAAAAGAACCUUCGAGAACAGUCCUGUGAGUAAAAAAUCUGUGCACCUUGCUCAGAAGGCUUCCCUGUGUUUGUUUUAUUCUUCCCAGUAAUGGACUAUGUGCACGUCUGUAAUUUUGUGUUUGCAGUUUAAGAGGCUAUAUCAGGCUAGGGAUGUAGCUCGUGGAGAAGACUGCUUGCCUCACAUGGUUGAAGCCCUAAGUUCAAUCCCUAGUGCUUCACAAACUGGCUUGGUGGUACAUUCCUGUAACCCCAGCACUCAAGAGGAUCAGAGUUCAAGAUUCUCUUUGAUUAUGUGCUGAGUUGGAGGCCGUCCUAGGAAACUUGCAUCUAGGCUUCAUCAGAGACUGGAUAGGGAAAUUAAUUAGUCUGGUAUUUCAUGCCAAAAGCUUUCAUCUUCAUGACUUUUGUUUGAAAAAAGAAAACAAAAAACAAAACUGCCUAGACUUAGCUGUUUGAUAAUCCUCAGCUGAAAGAAGGAAUGGUUCCAGUCUCGUAUGUGUGUGUGGCUCUACCCUUAUUGGAGGAUCCGUGGAAACAGGAAGGAAUCUAUGAAGACGCUGACCAGUAAAGCUGUGCAAGCAGGCAGUGAAGGGGAAUGGGGAGACAGUUUCCUUGCUGGAAUCCUAGAAACCAUGUGUUAGUAUUUCCCAAAUUCACAGAUAACAGAGCAGUUGCUGCUGUUUGACACAGAUGUCAAGGAAGGGUUUGUAUUAGCUCUUUGUCCCAAACCCAGAGCUGUGCCUGCUCUUGGCAAACUAACAUCUUAGACGUCACCUCUGCGUUAUAGUGAGGAGGUCCCGUGAAGUUGUUAUCCUUAAGUAGAAGCCUGGCGUUACUGUAACUUUAGUGGGUCUCUCCUUAGAAAACGCAUCUGAGCCUUGUCAGACUUUCCUGGGGAAAGCACUGGUGAGUCGGAAGGAAGGAAGGAUGUUGUUCAUCCGUUAGUGCAUCCAGUUUGCUCUCAAAGAGUUAGUAAGAGGAAGCUUUGGUUUUUAUAGCAAUACACUUGAUCUCUGGUGAGGACUAAUUGCAAACACCUCUUUUCACAGUCAGGGAGUGAUUCACUGUUGAUGAGAUGAGGGCCUGUAAGCCUGCAUAUGUGCCAGGUAUAGGCGAGCGGUGCACUUCAGGUGGCAAAGCACAUGCAUGGCAAACACAAACCCGCCCCGCCCCCGCCCCCGCCCCCGCCCCCUUCCAAGAAACAACCACCAAGAACAGCAAGCACAAACUGGUGGGCUCAUUUGUCUGAAAGUUUUCCAGGUGCCUUCUUAGCCCAGGGCACAACUUUUUCCUUUCUUUAAACACAGUGGUUUACAGGCAGUUUACAUAGGCCUCUACCAUGGGUGAAUAGUCUUUAGAAUAGUUGGGGAAGAAGGGCCAUUUGCCAGGACUUCCUGCUUGAUGAGAAGACUGUUUUAGCCAGGCAUGGUCACACAUACCUUUAAUCAAAACACACCAGGAGACAGGGCAAUCUCUGAUUUUGAGACCGAUUUAGUCUACGUCACAAGCUCCAGACCAAGAAAAAGAAAGUUCUGACUUAUUUUAGUACAUGGCUUCUUAAGUAUAUUUUUUAAAAAUAGGUUGAAUGGAUUAAUAUUAGACAAUUCCUUCUAAUUUACAUUUCUUGCUUUCUUAAACUAUUCAUUCCUCUUUCAUAUUUAUUUAUUUAAAGUUAUUAUAUAGAUAUAUUUAUCACAUUUGAUUUACUGGUGUGUAAAAAAUGCUAUACAAAAAGUACAUUUUUAGGGCCUAGAGAGAGAUGCUCAAAUGUUAAGAGCACUUAUUGUGCUGUCAGAACCAGAAUUCAGUUCCCAGCACCCACACUGACAGCUCACAAAUGCCUGGGACUCCAACCUCCCCCCACCCCGGGGGGGGUCUGAUGCCCCUCCUGGCCACAGUGGGAACAUAUGCACAUAAGUAAAAUAACAAAUUUAUACACACCAGGCAUGGGGUCAUACAUUUGUGUUUCUGAUCAGCCUGGGCAACAUAAGACCCUGUCUCUAGAAAAAGAAAAAAUUCAACCCAUCUCUAGUCAGGUGUGAGCUGUAACCAAUGUGACUGUUAAAAGGUCUCCCUAAAAGGGGGCUAUUAAGAAAUUAUUAUGCCUUUGAGAGUAGAAAGGUUGGCAGAGCAUAUGCCAGAGACUUGCCUGUCACUCACACUGGCUCUGCCACUCAUCUGUUCCGUGACCUCUGGCUUUUUCUUCCCCCUCUCUGCCUGUCUCCCUGGAGUGGUGGCACCUGCCCUCACCUACCUCACCAAGUCCCCUUGAGAAUCAGUUUGUGAAUAACCCUUGACUUCCCCCAGAGAAAAAGCUAUUCAGAAGUUCAGAAUGGUAGAGAGGGUCUGAGGGCUCCUUUCCUGUUGGUCUCUGUGAAAGUGUCUUCACUACGGCAGAUCGUUUUUAUGAGACAAGCAUGAGAGACAUGGAGGCAUCAUGAUGUGGUAUGUCCUAGCUCUUCCCCGCCAGAGGUCAGUGCGUGGGCACAUUUUUUUCUUUGUACUAACCGCUGGCAGAAACAUAAGUUUUCAAAACUAAAUUCCUUUCGGUGGUGCUAAAGUAGUUGCAGCUGCACUUUGAGUUACUGGGGAGGCCAUCAGGCUCCCAGAGUUUAUUGCCCCGUUGUCUCCAGGUGCCUGUGUUUCCUGUCCACCUCAGCUGCUGUUCUGCCAGGCCUUCCCCAGUGCUCCUUGGCAGAUACUUGGUCCGUUUCCCUUGGAGAGGUGGGUGGGUUCUAAGAGCAAAGUGUCCUGAUUUCACUUGUCACUUGGCUUCACCUUAAAAACUCCCACCAUCAUUUAUCUAUAAAAGUUAGAGCAUAAGCCAGACACCUCUAGUCCCAGCUCGCAGGAGGCUGCAGCAGGAAGAGCACAAGUUUGAGGCCAAGGCUACUUAGUGAGAUCCUCUCUCAAAAGUCAGAGAGACUGGCCAGCUGCAGGCGAUAUUAGAUGUACGACCCAUGUAUCCUACCAAGUGCAGGCAGGGCCCUUACCUUUCAACAGAAAACCCAUUUUCCUGUAAGGUAGGACUCCGGGUUCUAGGAAAGGCAUAUCACCACAGGUAUAAACAAUUCCUUUUUGCAACAGACGAGUUUGUUGCUUUUGGUUUUGUUUUUAAAGAAAAAUGAAUGUAUGUUAAGUAUACAGGGUAUGGAUGAAUUCAGUGUUUAUUCUUAUCUCUACUAAUAGUGACCUCUCGUUCUUUCAAGCAUUUGGGCCUUUCCAACUUCUUGCUGACAAAUAUGACAUCUGUUGUUAGUUGAAUAGAACAAUUAGAAAUACAAGGUGAGAAGUUGAGGAACUUUAUGCUUAAAAAUGAAAAAAAGCUAAGUGUGGUGACUCAUAUCAGUAAUCCCAGCCCUUGGAAGGCAGAAGGAUGGGAGGAUCAUCCAGGCCAGUCACGGCCAUGGAGCAAAACCUUGUCUCCAAAAAAGGCACCGUGUGCAGUGCAAUAGCUAACACUGAUAGAUCAGAACACUGUUAAAUGGUUUUUACUGUAAUGUGUAGCUUUAAUGUCUCUCUCCGUUAUGGACCCAUAAAAGUAUUACUGUAUCCUCUAAGUAUCAUUUUGUGAAUUAAUAUGUGGGUGCAUUUGUAGGCUGUGGAAAACAGUGCUGUUUGUAUGUAUGUAUGUAUAUAUAAAUACUUUAUAACACUCUAUGGAUUAAGUUUAAAUAAACAGAAUAAUAUGUUGUUUCUUUCAAGUUGGGAAGACUAACAUGGCAGUCUGACCAUUCUGUUGCACCCCUACCCCUCCCUCUAGAUUCCCUUCUCCCCAAAGCAUUGCUAACUGCUCCUGCUUCAGACAAUUGCUGCUGCUUUUAAACCCUGAGUAAUGGGUGAAGAACUAACAUUCUUAAAGGGACCUUUCUGAGGAGUGAACUGUAAAUUAUAAGACAUGUGGCGGGGGGGGGACACCUGCAAAACAUCCUCUACAUGGAUAGCCUUUUAAAUUUACCUUUUAAUCAUCUUGACCAUGUGUGCCUAUUUGUAUUACAGAUAUGAACUUCUAUUUCAGAGUUAACAGAAUGUUUUAAAACUGAAAUAUUACAUGAAUUCAGAGUAACCUUUCCCACCCUCUUCUACUCCCAGCUCUUGCCAAAUACUCCUACUGACACCAGAGAACAACAUGGGGUUCUGACCCCUUCCUCACCUUCCCUUCCUGCAGUAGCUCUGUCAAAUGCCUGAGCUCGCCUCCUAGUCUCCAUUGGCUUUUCAAAAGAAUAGUUUACUAUAGUAUUUAGACUGCAGCAUUUCAUAAUGUUUGUCUAGCUGCUGCCUUUUUACAUAUUUGGCUACACGCUAACACCGGGUUAGACAGUGGAGCAGGUCUGGUCUGUAAGUUACAUGGGAUCAGAAGCGAUACAGACUGAUGCUUGUCAGUCAUGUUUAAGAAGAGGAACAGGGACUCUCCUGGGGGUGGUUUAUGUGAUCACGUGUCAGAGUCACCAAAUGCUGAAUUCUCUCACUGUGUACUGGGGACCAGGCUCUGAUCUGUCAUGUUAACUCCUUAAAGAUGAUGUGUGAUUAUGAGAAGCAGAAAGCUAAUAAAGUUUUUAAUC